GGGCGCUUAGCUCAGCGGGAGAGCACCGUCUUCACACGGCGGGGGGCACUGGUUCAAUCCCAGUAGCGCCCACCA
rnacentral:tRNA from 1 species